rnacentral:rRNA from 1 species
UUAAUCGGGAGGGAAGUGUUAGGGAUCCUCCGGAAGGGACGAAAGUUUGAACGAACCACCCCCCCGGGAUGGAGGAGGGUUUCCGAACCGAAAGCCCCGGUUGCCAGGAAGAACGCCUGGGAAAAUAACCGGUCCCAAGGGGGCCGGACCUGGAAAAAAAGCCCCCGAUAAAUUCCUGGCAACAGCCGGGGUAAUUCCUAAGGGGCAAGCGUUGGCCCGAAAUUUUGGGCGUAAAACGGGCCCCAGCCGGUGAAUAAGUCUGGGGUUUAAGGCCGGGGGUCCACCACGCGUCCCACCGGAAACCGGAUUACCUGAGGGGCGAAAAAGAAAGCGGAAAUCCACCUGUAACCGUCAAAUGCCCAAAAAAGUGGAAGAACCACCAUGGGAAAAGGCAAUUUUCGGGCUGGUACUUAAGCUGAAGCCCCAAAUCGAGGGGGACCAACCGGAAUAGAAACCCCUGGUAUUCCCCCCGUAAAACAAGAAUGCCUAGGGUAAGGGUUUCGAUACCCUUUGUGGCCAAAUUUAC